GGGGCUGAGAGAGAGCAGAGAGAAUGGGGAGCGAGUGCUGUGACUUCCGCGUCCCUCGGUGCCCUCAGAGAGUGGUCUCGGGGCUCCGUCCAGAGUAAAUAACGCUCCCUGAGCUGGUGGGCAGGUGGGAGGUGGGGGGUUCCACCAUUUGGUAACGGAACUGCCCUUGAUAAUCCCAAGAGAAGAUGGUGCGUGUGAGCUGAGAAACGGCCAGAGUCCCCAAAUCCUUGCUCUGCCCUGGGAGCGGAUGUUCCCGCGGUCUGGGAAAUCUGAUGGGCUUUGUACACAGUCACCACGAGGAGAGGACAGAACGUGAGUGUCCCAGGCGGGGAUCCCGUGGCGUCAGAUCCGCACACCUCACUGGCAGCUCGUCCCCCCACCAGGCUGGGCUGACCCAGGGCCCGAGUGGGGGGCCGUGCUGCUGUGCCUUGGGCUGCUGUGGGUGUGCUCCUGCCCCAGGGAGAGCCCAGGCUCUGUGCCCAGGAAGGACGGGCCCGGGGCAAGAUGAGCGGGGCCCCGGCAUCGCGGCCGGCCCCCACGCCCGCCUUCCACACUCAGACACACUCGGCCCCGGGUCACGGCCUCGGACGCCUCCGCAGCUGUACAAUCUUCUCAUCUCCAGGCUACUUGGUGGCAGUGCUGACCCUGACCACGAGCAGUUCUGGGGUCUCAGCCUGUCCGAACGAGAGCACGAAGCAGUUCCCAGCCGGGCUUUGAAGCUGCCCCCAGCUGCCCGAGCCGCCUCGUGAAGUCCUGACCCUGGAGCGCGCACGCAGACCGAUGAGUUCCGCUCCAUUCAGCACGGAAGGCAGCUCUCUCGGGGUGACCCCUUCCGAGUCCAUUCCUGCACGGCGCCUCGGCAGAGGGUUUCCAAGGGCAGGAAGUCGGGUGCCCCCGGGCAAGGGCAGAGGGGCUGAUCGUGCUCGGGGAGGACCAGGGGGCGGGAGGGAGGGCCGCGGUCCUCACGCUAACUGGACUUCAUCGGUGUCCCAAUCGGGGGUCGAGGGCCCGUCCCCUCCUCAUGCCCCCCCUUGCACAGGACUUGGCAGGGUCUGAAUUCAGCUGCUGACGCAAUCCGCAGCCCACGCUGUCGCACGGGGGUCCGGUUUUCCUGCACCUCCACCCAGACGCUUCAAGAAUGAACAUGAGGCGAAGGCCCUCACGGAACCAGAGCUCCGAAGUUCGACGUCCCCUUUCUGAAAGUUGCAGCCAGACGGCCGCCGGUCCCACAUUUCCUGUCAAGCUGGGUUCCUGAAACCUAGCUUCCAACGGGUGCUGUGUCCCAACGAGCCAGCAGAGUCAUCCGAGGGACUGCGUCACUCGGUGCCGAGACACCGGUGCCCCGUCUUCUACUGACGAGGUGGCCCCACCUGUCUUCUGGGCAAGCACACGCACACACGCGGAGACCCUGGGAAACCGAUUCCAGAGGACUCACCUCCCAAGGGGCUGGAGGAAGAAAAACAGCUGGAAAUGCUGUGCCUUCGGGUGUUGGCCCAGAAAGCGGUAAGGGAGCGCGCUCCCCGGCGGGGCCGGGGGCGGAUGGGUGUUUGCUCUCCACCUCAACCUGGAGCAUUUUUAAGUACGGUUCUGUGGACAUUAACUCACGUGGAGACCCGCGUAGCCAAGUUCAGGACGUAGAGCAGCUCUAUCCCCUGAAACUCCCCACAAAACCUCCCUCCUGCUGGGUCCCCGACCCCUGCAACCACUCACCCCUCCUCCACACCAGGAGCUUUGCCUUUUCUAGAACGUCACGGAAACGGAACCACACGGCACGGCGCCCGUGAGCCUGGCUGCCGUUGCCACCCACAGAGCUGUCCACUUGGUCCACACCUGACUCCGUUCGUCGUGUCAGUCCAUCGCACGGGCGGCCCUGGGUCUGCUCGAGCCGCUCGAGGUGAAGGCCUGUGGGGCGUGUCUGGUUCUUAGCAAUUACGGCUGAGCUGUCAUGCCCAUCCGCAGACGUGUGACUGCGUUCUCUUCUCUUUUACGUGCAGACCUGGGAGAGGUCACCGGGUCGUACGUAAGGCCAAGGGUAUAUUCCGAUCUGUGAGAAAUCGCCCAGCUGUUCCCCGGAGCAGCUGUGGACCAGGGUCCUGCUCUCGGCCAUCCUCUCCGCCACUCGGCAUCCCGUGCUGCGGACGGUAUGAGUUGCUGUCACCUCAGGGCCGGCAACCCUCACCUUCGCUCCCAUGGCCCUUUGCCGCCCGGGUGUCCUCUUUGAGGAAGCGUCUGUUCCAGCGUUUUGCUCAUUUUUAUUGGGCCAUUCACUUUGUUACUGUUGAGGCUUGGAGUGUUCCAUGUGUUUUGGGGUUUUUUUGGGGGGGGGAUUAUGAAAUCUGCAAACACUUAUUCCAGAGUGCAGCUUUAUUUUAAAGAAUUCUCGGGGCGCCUGGGUGGCGCAGUCGGUUGGGCGUCCGACUUCAGCUCAGGUCACGAUCUCACGGUCUGUGAGUUCAAGCCCCGCGUCGGGCUCUGGGCUGAAGGCUCAGAGCCUGGAGCCUGCUUCCGAUUCUGUGUCUCCUCUCUCUGCCCCUCCCCCCUUCAUGCUCUGUCUCUCUCUGUCUCAAAAAUAAAUAAACGUUAAAAAAAAAAAAUUAAAAAAAAAAAAAAGAAUUCUCUUGAGGGGCGCCUGGGUGGCUCAGUCGGUUGAGCCUCUGACUUCGGCUCAGGUCAUGCUCUCACGGUCCGUGAGUUGGAGCCCCGCGUCGGGCUCUGUGCCGACACCUCGGAACCUGGAGCCCGUUUUGGAUUCUGUGUCUCCCUCUCUCUCUGACCCUAACCCACUCGCAUUCUGUCUCUGUCUC